UACCUCAACCGCAAGGAGGGGGAUGCCUAAGGCAGGGCUAGUGACUGGGGUGAAGUCGUAACAAGGUAGCCGUACCGGAAGGUGUGGCUGGAUCACCUCCUUAAAGGGAGACCUAAUUCAGGUAGGAGACGAAAAAAAAGUAGUCCCUACCAGGAAUCAAUCCCAAAAGGUCGGAGCGAGGCGAAAUUGGCUUUCAAACUAGGUUCUGGGUUCAAACAAGACCUGAAUCAGGAACAAGGGCUAUUAGCUCAGGUGGUUAGAGCGCACCCCUGAUAAGGGUGAGGUCCCUGGUUCGAGUCCAGGAUGGCCCACCUGCACAGGUGGCAAAAACAAGAGAAGCGAGGAAUCAGCACCUUAUCUUACUGACAUAGUAAGAGAGAAUGCUGGCUCUGAGUAAAGAGUCCAGAGGAACCUUGAAAACUGCAUAGAGCUAGGUGAAAAAGCCAAAAAAGAAGACCGCAA
rnacentral:misc_RNA from 1 species